rnacentral:lncRNA from 1 species
UUUUUUUUUUUUUGUAACAAUUUAUCAAACACUGAAAAAAUUAGAAAUAACAAAACAAAAACAAAUUUGGAUUGUGCAAUUAAUUUUCUUUAUUGUUGGGAGAUAAUUUUUUAAAUAAAAUAUUUAUUAUUAUGGAAUUUUUUAAAAUAUAUAACAAAAAUGUAAUAUAUUUAUAUCGUAUUGAUCAAAUUUGAAAACGAAAAAAUUCCAUAGACCUACAAUGAAAAUACAAAAAAUACCAUAGUCAAUAUAUGAUUAAUCAGUCACACGCACGCAUGUAAUUCUUGUUCUAAACGAUCAUGAUACACGAUCAUGUUGGAAAUGAUACACAAUCGUGUAGGUAAUAUCAACACAAUCAUGUAAUUAGUAUCAACAGGAUAGUGUAGUUUUUUUAACGAUGAGAAAAACGCUUCAAAUCUAAACGAUCGUGUUGACCACGCUAAACAGUCGCGUUGACUAUGGUAAGCGAUCACUUAGAUCAUAUCCACACGGUCAUGUAAUUCUUUUCAAAACGAUGGAAAAAUGGCUUCAAAUUUAAACGAUUGUGUUGAUUAGAUAAGCGAUCGUUUAGAUUAUAUUCACACGAUCAUGUAAUUCUUUUUAAACAUGGAAAAAGGACUCCAUAUCUAAACGAUUGUGUUGAUCAUCCUAACUAAGUGAUCUUUUAUAUAUAUGAAAGUAAUAUCUAAACAAUCUUGAUAUUCUAGAAGAUGAGUUGGAAGAAAGAAAUAAAAAAUAAAGAUGAAGAAAAAUAUAAGAAAAAAAAUCUGAAAGAGAAGUUGUAGAAAUCUGGAAAAGAAAAUGAAUAAAUCGAAAAGAAAGAGAAUGGAUUAAUUGUUCACGAUAUCAAAAGCAAAUCUAGAAUUUAAGAAAAUAUUUUACCAGCUUUAUGAACUUUUUGUUUUUGUUAGCAGUAAAUAUUUUGGUUUUUUUUAUUACAUUUAUGAAAAUGAGUAGAAACAUUUCUAAAAAUAGCAAAAUAAAUUAAAAUAUUUAUAAAAUAUAACAAACUUUUGUAUUCCAUCAAUAAUAGUCACAUAUAUAUUUCUAUUACUGUCUAUCAAUACCACUUAUAGAAGCGUAAUACUCACUAUCAAUGUUUAAUACUGAUAGAAUCUGAAAAUUUUGUAAAUAUCUAAAAUCACCCGAUACGUCAGAAAUAUUUUGUUAAAUUUGAUAUUAUUCAACAUGCUUCACGUCAUUUCAAACUAUUCAGGACAAUAGUUAUAAUGCAAACAUUUAAUUCAAUUAAAUGCAAACUGUUCGGUGUAUAUAUAUAUAUUUAUGAAUUAACCAGCUGUCCUAAAACAUAUAACAUUUGUCACUCACAGCCCCACAACCAAUCCUCUCAAUUAAGACACUUUGAAUUCAAAUUCUUCCCUUUCAAUUCAUGAUUCAUCUAUACAUAUAAAUAUAAGGGGAAAUUUUUAAUUUACCUCUUCAUUUUAUAUAUUUUAUUUAUUUAAAUCUAAAUUAAUAAUUAUAUAUGAUUUAAUCUUUAGCUUCUGUAAAAAUUUCAAUUGACACUACUUUUAAGAUUUGAAUUUUGAUCAAAGUUGCAUGAAACAUAUAAUUGUUUAUGUUAAUCUUAAAUUAUAAUAACAGAAAUAAUUUAUAUCCUUUAUUAAGAUUAAAUAAAUUAUCCAUGUAUUUAAAUCUUCCACUCUCGAAAUAGAAUUUAAAUGUUAAAUUUAUCAAAUAAAUAAGUAGGAGUUCAUGUAUGAAUUUUGUUAAACAAAGUAAUAGAAUAUCUAAAUUGAUUUGUUUAUAGACAUUAUAAAGAUAUCUAGAAACGUUUAAUUGAUGCGAAGAAGGGCACCAUACUAAAGUAUUUAGAAAAAUAUUAGUAAAAUAUCACAUCGAGUGAUAUACUAUUAAUAAUAGUAUAAUGUAAUCUAUACAAAAGUUUUUUUUUUUUUGUUUAUUUUAGUAUAUUUGAAAACAAAUUGAUAUAAUGGUUAUGAUACCAUCUAUAAUUUAAAUUUUAAGGGUUUAAGACAAACUAUUUAUACUUUAUAGAAAAAAUUACUGAAUAUAACUUUCCAAAUUUUUAAAAAUCUACUUUGAUUAAAUUUAAAUUCAUAAAAACUAACCAAAACUAAUUCAUAAAAACUAACCAAAACUAACAAACCAGGUUAAUAGAACUAAAGUAAAUCCACUCUUUACAUAUCUUAAUCAACAACGAGAAGACUUACUUAUUUUUGUAUAUGUUUAGAAGGAGCUUUUGUAAAAAUACUUAUUUUGUAUAUGUUUAGAAGGAGCUUUUGUAAAAAUAGCAAAAAUGUAUGAUAAUAGAAAUCAUGUCAUAAGAUUUUUUAAAUUUAUAAAAUUUGAGGGAUAACUGCCUCAUAGUCUCAUACAAUUACUGUCUGUUAGUCCUACAACAACUCUUGCAACAACUCUAGAUUACGGAUGAUUAUCGUUUAAUAGUAGUCUGAUAUCAUUAACUUUGUCAUAAUACGUCAUAUUCGAAGUAUGCAAAAAAAAUAGUGUUGUCAAACUUAUUUUGAAAUAUUUUUGCAAUUUUUCUUUUUAUAAAAGACAGCAUGAAAAAAUCUAGUAAGUUUUAAUAAAAAGCAAAAAUCUUCCCUAACAAUUUUUUUUUUUUUGGUUGAAAAACUAUGUAAGUUGGAGACAUAAAGAUAUUUGCAACCUAAUCAUCACCAAGAUAUUGUUCAAUUUUACUUUACAGCAACCUAAAAAAGAGAAAAAAGGUGAAACAUUUAACAAAGAAAACACCAAUCUAAAAAUAUCUUUAUAGAAACAUACCAUACCUAUUAUUUUAAUUCAUUAAAAGAAAAAGAAAAGAGAUAUAUGAUCAACAUGAACCUACUUUAAUAACUUUCUUUUAUUGUUUUAUUCAUAGGAAUAACUAUAAAAUUAUUCCAGCUUAAUUUCCACACAUAUGGCCAAAAGAAAGACCCUCUAACACCUUGGAGUGGGAACACCACAUUUGGAAGCAACAUGUUUGGCGCCAGGAGAAUUCACAUAAGGACUCAAAGCUGGGUUCUUUAUGUACCCGCAAAGACAUUGUUGCUGCUCUCUCAAUUUGCUGCAGCAAGUGGCGGAUGGGUCUGCCAUCGACGUGAUUGCCCUGGCACAUGAGCUCAGCUCCGAAGGUCUGCAACUCACCGCCUCUGCAACACGAACUCCGCCAAGAACGGCCAGCACGAAAAGACAAACAACUGUGACUGGAAGAACUUUGUUCAUUGUCUCUUGGUUUUGAUAGAAAUCAGUAAUGUUUGUUGAAGGGAAAGGGAAAAGGAAAAGGAGAAAGAGGAAUAAUAUGGCUUUAAUUGUCUGUUUUUCCCCCCAACUCUUUUUUGUUUGUAUUUAUAGCCACAUAAAGUUGGAAGAGUUGAUAAAAGGGCCAACCCUAUUAUUAAUUUCUCAUUUCCAAUUUCACCUACUUUUCUCUUUGAUUUUAAUUGCUUCCAACAUCCUUUUCCAUAAAGUUAAUAUUGUGAUGAUAACAAUUAACAAAUAUUGUUGGCAUUGAUUUAAAUGUUGGGUUGCUCUACACGUUUGAUCUAUUCUAGAGCACAAAAAUUACCACAAUUAUUUUAACAUUUUUUUGAAUUAUCCUAAAUCAUAAAAGGAAUUAGAGACGAAUAUAUUUUGCUUGUUUUUAUUUCUUUUUACAAUGGUUUGGUAUAAAUAUGCAAUACAAGAUAAUAUUAAAUAUGAAAAGAUUGGGAUAUAAUCAAAUAUACAAUUUGGGCAAAAAUAAAGGGCAGAAAUUGAGGAGUAGAUUAUGAAGAGGAUUGUGAUUUUGGAAAAUAUCCUCUAAUAUCCUCCCUCAGAUUGAUGACUCAAAAUGAGUCAAUAGUUUGUCUCGGAGUUGUAGAAGUGUUGUAGAUGAGAGUGACUUUGUUUGUAGAUCAACAAGUUGAUCGUUGGAAGAGAUGUAACAAAUGAAAGUUUGAAAAAAGUGGUAAUCAAUCUCAAUGUGUUCAGUGCGAGCAUGAAACACGAGAUUAUGAACCUGAGAUAUAGCUAAAACAUUAUCACACCAUAAGGUUGUUGAAGAUUUAAAGUGGAACAUGAAGAUCACAUAGAACUUGUCGGUUCCAGUAAAGAUCUGCAGUGGUAGUGGCGAGUGAGCAAUUUUUUGCUUAUGUGGAAGAACGUUAGACUGUAGGUUGCUUUCUAAAAGACCAAUAGAUAUGAUUAUAACCAAGAAAGACAAUGAAUCCAUAGGUGGAAUGUCGAUCAGAAGUGUCGCUAGCACAAUCAGAGUCAUAAAAGGUUUAUAGAUAUAAUUAAUGAACCCAUGCAAAAUUUUAUCCCAAGGGUUGAGUACCACAUAGAUAUCGUAGGAUGCAUUUGAUUGCAGAGAAGUGAAUAACAGUGGGUUUGUGCAUCAAUUGACUAACACAAUUUAUAGAGAAUGAAAUAUCAUGGUGAGUAAAGUAAGGUAUUUUAAUGAAAGGAGUCAGAUGGAUGGGUCAUUAAAUGACAAAACUGUUGAAAUUUAUGUCAUAAAACUCGUAGUUUGUAGUUUAAAAGUAUAUUUUAUUCAAUAAAGUGGUUAUUGAGGAUUUAUUAAUAGAAUACUAUAAUCUUGAAUCUAAAUAAACUAAGGUCCUUAUGCUACCUAGUGUAGACUUGAAUUUACAUAAAUGUGGAUCAAGUUCAAGUAUAUAGCCCAAAUGGUCUAUAGUGUAUGAAUAAGCCUUAUUCUUGUUGUAGUUAGUACAAACGAUAUGAUCCUGAAUCGUUCAUGUAGAGACCAUGGAAGUUGGAGUAUCCUAUGUACAAAGUUUACAUAAGACUGAAAUCAUAAAAUAAUCACUUUUAAGUUAUAACACCAUUGAUUGUAUAAAACUGACUAUUUUGUUUAUUGAUGACCCAUGUAACUUAAUCUUAAUCCUAAGUUAACUAUGAACUUUGUUCACACGAAAUUAUCCUUAGAUCUGCAUAGGUGAGGUAGCUCAACGACACUGACACAAUAAGCCUCCCAUUUUAGGAGUAAGAUUGGGUGGAUGGCUAGGUGUAACGAUCCAAACUUUUCAAACUAAACUGAGGUAGUUACUUUAAUACAAAUGCACUUCUUUUAAACAUGAGUGUUUAUAAAAUAUGUUAAAAUCAAUAAACAUCAAAUAAAUCUUUAUUCAGGCCCUAUUUCAAACAAAAUUAAAGGUUCGAAAUUAUUGUUUAUAAAAUCAAGAAAUAAAUUGUUGUGCUAAACAUGAAAUUCGUUUCAGUCACAACUACUAAAGUAAAACAAAAGAAAACUGUAAGCGGAAGCUAUUUUAAAGAAAAUCCUCCUAUGGCGAUCACGUCUCCUUCUUAUUCCUCGUUGGUCGGUCUCUUAUAUUACUUUUGCCUGAAAGUUAAACAUAAAAGGGUGAGUAUAAACAUACCCAGCAAGAGACACACUACUGGUCCCACUAGGGUAAAAUUAUUAACUUUCUAUUGGAAGGUACCAUGUAUCAUAACAGUCUUGUGAUCCCGUAGGAUGCACAUAAUUAAUCUAAUGCUCAUAAAAGAUGCACAUAUCAGUCUAGUGCUCCCGAAGGAUGCACCUAUCAGUCUAGUGUUCAAAAGGAUGUACAACAGGUGGUGAUCCCGUGGGGCACCUGCAAGACACACUACCCUACAGAUAAAGCUAACAGUUUCCCUCAGUCCAUACUAACAUUUAAAACAGUCAACUCAACUUAGAAUAUAAACUACCAUUAUAUCCUUCUUUCAGCUCAACACAUAUACAUUAAUUUACCCAAACCAAUACAUAAUCAAACAUCAUCAGAACAGUCCCUCAAAUAAUUAAAUUUAUACAUAAGCGUCACUCACCUCAGUUCAGUCAAUUCAAUCUAGUUUGUCAAUUCAACCUACAUUACACUACCUAUGCCUUAACAUAACCGUCAACAACCCACAAUCUAAUCAAUUCGAUAUCCUCAGUUCAGUCAUCAAACUAAUUUUACAUAUCGGUCAACUCAUCUCAGUUCAAUAAAAUUCAUAUAAUAAACAGUCAUCAAAUAUAAAUUUGCUUAUCAGUUAGUCCAUCUAAGUUCAGUGGAAUCCAUAUAGUCAAUACAUCUUAAUUUCAUCAUUGAGUCCAGUAGUAGGAACCCUUACCUUAACUUCAUUUAUUCCACUAAAGUUCAACAAAAACAACCUAAACAUAAGUAAACAGAAAUCAAUGACUUCCAGAAACAAUUUCAUCUAUUCAAUUCAUCCUAUAUAUAUAAUUUCCACAACUUACCCAAAACGUGGAGAAUUGGAGUCCAACCCCACUCAUUUGAAACUCAAGGAAUUUAAGUGUUGUCCACAAUUUGCACCUUGAAGAAACAAUAUCAAUCAAUUUACUAACCCAACCAAUAUUGGUUAUUGAAAACAAUCACCAAAACCCAAAACUACACCCUUACCACAAACCACAACAAGGUAGAAACAACGGCUUUCGAAACCAACACAAAAGAGAUUGUGCAAAAUAGAUAUGCGUGUGGGUUGGCUUGCAACUCGUAAACGGACAACAGAUGUAGACGAAGGCAGAUUGAUUCGAAUCUUCAACAGCAGCUACGCGCAACGGAGAAUUCCACUAUCUCCCUAGUUCGUUUUCAACAUAUUCUUAUGUGAAAUUUAUUGUUUCAAUUCUUUAUUGCUUUGGUUUAACACCGCUUUGGAUUCUUUGCAGCAAAAGGUGGUAAAACCCACUACUUUAGAAGCGUCCCAAACAGUUUGGAAUCAGUGGAGCAUUGCCGUCCAAGAGGGAUCUCACUCACUUUGUCAAAUGGCCCAAAGUUGUUUAAAUUUAGAGAAAAAAUAGAAUUUUGAAGCAGAGGCUAAAAAUUCCACCAACAUUGAAUCUGUUCUAUUUGACUUUCUUUUUUCUCUUUUCUUUCUUGUUGUCAUCAUCAAAAUUUUCAACUAUACGUAUAAAGACGGAGAUAUUUUAUGUGGACAACUAUACGGCCGUCCGAACUACUUUUAACUUAUGUGGCUGGAUCUAAAACUUAGAAGAUUGUCCAAGUUUUCUGUUGAACAAUGCAUGUACCAGAUUUUGUGCAUUCCCAACAUGAUACAUUCUUAUGCUAUGUUGGGAAAGGGGGUUCUCUGUUUAUAAUCACAAUCACUUUAGCCCUUAUUUGGGGGUCAAGGUUGCCUUUCACUUCUCCUCCCUCAUUUUGUAUAAGGGCAAGUAUUUCUUUGUCUAAAAGGGUUCAAACUCUCCUACUAUUAUAAUCAUUCAACAUUCUCUGUAAUGAUCAAUUCUUUAUUCCUCUUAGAUUUAUUAGGUUUUACUUUUAAUUGCUGCAUAUAGUUCUCUUACCUUCGUAUAGACAAAAAGGUGUUUCUGAGAGGUUUUUCUUUGAUAAGUUAAACGCUUGUAUUUUGUUGGAUUUGGCCUAUGGUAUUGAAAAUCUCAAAUCAAUUGAACGCAAUGUCUUGUUUACACAUUUGAAUUGAAACUUUCCUAUACCUAUAUUAUACAUAUUUUUUCUAUUCUUUCCCACAAAUGUGUUAUAUCGACUUAUCUAUUCUACAUAAUUUCACGCAUGGCUAGCACGAUGUUCCCGUUUUCAAGGGAUGCCAAAAUUACUUUUCACUCAUUCUCGUAACUCCAUUGACGGAUAUAUUUCCUAAACCUAAACGGAUCUGCCUGCUCAUGCAUUUCCUAAUCAUGUGAUAAUGUUGAAUCUUCCUUUAUUAUAUAUAUAUAUUAUUGAUGUAAUUAAGAAGUUAUUUAAUAGUAAUAAGAGUUGUUCUUUAAUAGAAAUAUGUACGUUCGUAAAAUGUUCAUAUAUAUAUAAAUGGGUUCAAAAUUUGAGGUUACAAAAAAAAAAUGAAAUAAAUAAUAUAAGGUAUUUUUUUAAAAAAAAAUCAAACCCGCGAUGCCAUAUGUAAGCGUCGAGACUUGUAUAUAAGAUCUCCCGACGACUAAAGAUGGCGAACUCCCAACAUCGUAUACAGUAUCUUCCCGACGCUGCAUAUCUUAGUGUUGUAAAGGCUUCUUUUGAUGCAUUUUAUCCGAGCACAGUUUUGACAGACAUUUUUUGGGAGAUCCUUUUUCAACUCUUUUUUCGUAUAUCUCCCAACGAUUGUGUGCGUUGGAAGACCCCUCAUUUUUUUGUAGUGAAUUUGUAACUCGAAUACUCUUAAUAAAAUUUCUCAAAACUUGUUCUUAAUGUGGACGUAGACCAAAUUAGUCAACCAACUUAUAUCCUUGUGUUCGUAUUCUCUAUUGGUUUGUGUAUUUUAUGGCUAUUGCAUUAUGCUUGGGUUGUGUUAUUAAUUAAUUUAGUCCAUUAAUUAAUACAAAUAAUCAUGUCAGUUUUUAUUCAAGAGUUGAUUGGGCUGCACUAUAUACGAUCCAAAUGAAAAAGUUAAUUCUACGUCUUUUACUUCUCUAGAUAUAUUUCACAUUCUUUUAUAGUAAUGCCAUUACAUAUUUGUAUAAUGAUAAAAAUUGAAGCAUAUAGAACAAAGAAAAUACCAGAUCACUUUCCUUUUUAUUCAUAGUCGUUUGAUAUUGUAGUAUAGGCUAUAUAUAUAUAUAUAUAUAAGAAAAGUCCAUUACAAAGCAUGACCUCUAGCAUUUGGGAUAGGGAACACCACAGGAGGAAAUAAUAGCUUUUGCUCGAGCAGAUUUCACGUAACCUCCCAAGCUUGGAUUCUUCAUAUACUGACAAAAGCAUGGCUGUUGCUCCCUCAGCUUACUGCAACAAGUGGUGGACGGUGCCCGUCGAUGUCAUUGCACCAAUGCAUGGACUCAGCCCAUGGUGUUGCAAGUUAUCGCGUCGGCAACACGAGCUCCAGUGAGAGGGCCGCCAUUGCCACCACCAAAAGGGGAAGACUUGUGAACCCAAGAUUUUUCAUUAUUUUUCUUCUUUUGAUAUAGAAAUGAGGGAUAGGUUUCUAUUUGCCGCACCUUCAAAACAACGUUUUAUAACCUCAUAAAGUGGAAUGUGAGCACCUCACUUCUAUACCAACUUCUCUGUUUUGGCUUAAACUUUUCAAUAAAAUUAAUUUCUGAGUUGUUAACUUUCAAUAAAAUUAAUUUCGAGUUGUUAACUUUAUGAUGGUAACAUCUAUAGUUUGCAUUAAAUAUAUGGUUGGUGGUGGUAAUAGUGACAAACUCCCAACUUUGGAACAGUGACCAAAAGUUCAUAUAAAAAUUAUUUUAAAUACAAAUAAGUACACAAUUAUUUUUUGGAGUUUAAAAAUAACAAAAAAAAUAUAUAUAUAUAUAUAUAAUAAAAUCUUAAAUUGUAAAAAUAACAAAUUUAAAACAGAUAAUCUCUAAUAACUCUCUCGUAAUCUUUUGAUAGAUUUUUUUAUAGUUGAUAUCAUUAAUUACAAAAAAACUUUUUCUAAAUUCUUUUGUCAUCUAAUAUAAUUUUUUUAUUUUUUCUAACUAGAAAAUAUUAAAGCUUUUCACCAAUAUUUGAAAGUUAGGAGGUUGGAAACUUUUACCUUGAUUAGUAGCAUAUGCCUUACAUACUGUUUGCAACAUUUUCUAUAUUUUCUUCUAAUAUUAUCAACUAACAACAAUUCUAAUCGAAGUCGGUAUGUACAAGAAUUUGUUUUACAUUAUUGUUUAAAUACCUGACAUUUGGUUUUUUAAUAUUUCAUAAUUCCAGAAUUCUAUGUUGAAUUUGUGCUCCUUAAUUCACCAAUCUUUGAUCUAAAUACAUGAAUCUUAGGAUUACACGAAUCGAGAGUCCUAUUUGUGGAUCUAAAUGUAUGUAUUUUCUUGGUUGCAUUGCAUUAAUUUUGGCCUUUAUGUUCUUCGUUUGCAUUUUAAUUAAUUGCUUUGCCGGUUGAGUUCACCAUGAACAGGAUUAAGAAACGUAUAACAAGGGUCGUAACACAACGGAAUUUUUUAGAGAAUCUGAAUGAAUGAGUAGAGAAUGUGGUAAUAUUUAAGGUUAUGGUUGAUGCAGAGUAUUGGGAGAACAGUCGACCUCUGGAGGGCCAACAUCCAGUGAGCCUGCAGCAAGAAAAGGAUAUUUCUUUAGCUGGGUGAACAAUUUCUGUUUCCGACGUAACAAAAAUGUCAAUAAAGAUGAUUUAUGUUGAUGGAUUUUCUAUGCAAAGGUAUAACACCAUGUUUCGCGUAAGAAAAAUAUAUCCUUGGAGAGAGUUGAUUGAUGUUAGUGAAACCCAUGAAGUUUGGGUUUCUGCCGACACAAGUUUUAAUUUCUGCUUAUGCAAUUUGUGUGUAGAUUAUUUCAAAAAUAACAUGUUACCAACUGAAAACUACGCAAAGUUUAAUUCAUUUUAAUUAAAUAAAGAAAUGAAAUCAAUAAAACAAUCUAAACAGAAACCAAAAUGUUUAGUAAAAUAUAAUAACCAAUCACCAAAAAAGUAAUUUAUUUGGACCAAUCAUGAGUUUAGGAUAAAUCUAUCAAUAGACAUGUGGCUCUAAAACAUGAAAACAAAAAUAAAGUAGCGAAAGCAUUGUCACAAUAGUUCCAAAUGGCACAAUCACAAUCGUAGAUCCUUCUUACCGGCCUUGUCUUUGUUUGAAAAAUUGAACAAAUACCCAGUAAGAGAUCAGUCUAGUAGUUCAUAGAGCACACAUCAAUAGUAAAAGUUAUCCACUUAAUGCACUACCUAUAAGUGGGGAUCCUAUAGAACACUAUACAUAUAGGGUAUAUAUUAACCUAAUAAUCAAAGUUAAUAGUUGUCAUUAGUUCAAACACAUCCUAGUUUAGUCAUUCUCAAUUCAAUUCAGUCAUAAACAUAACAUGUAAAAUAUAUUCAAUAACCUCAUUCGUAACCAUCAUGUCUCAAGUAUUUCAUUAUGAGUCAUCAAUUAAAUCAGUCAUACUAUCAAUGCCUAUUAAACCAACCCAAUAUAUAAUCAAUAAUAAUCACAUUAUCAAUCUCAGUCUUACUCAUGUCGAGGAUUUGGUGUAAUAAACCCCUUACCUUAAAUUAUAGAGUUUAGGGUGGCAACGUUGUUGCUUGAGAGAAAAUUUUAUGUUAACUUCGAUUGAAAAUUCAUAACUAUUAGGAAAAUACACCUUACAUAAGUCUCUGUGUCUGUUUUACCUUGGUUUUUAGUGUUUUAACUCAUAAUUAUGAAUAAAUGAAGAUAUUAGUGAAUCAUAUAAGAGCCCAUGCAAAAGACUACGCGAGAGAAUAUUGUCUGGUGAGUAUAAUUCUGAGGUGAGGAAUUACGUCAUCACGCGAGAAAGGUUCACUAGAAGACAAGAAUGGUAGUUGGGGUUGAUGUAACUUGACAAAUGCUACAAUCGACACUGACAUGAUCAGAAGAAUAGAUGUUUUCCAUCGAAAGAUGCCUAUAAAAAGACUUCAUCCUUACCAAGUAAAGUGGUCGACUUCGAAAAGAGUCAAACAUCUAAAUGGAUCGACCAAACCCUAAAAGUGGCGGAAAGGAGUAGUCUUUCUGUCCUCUGUAAAAAGUCAUUCUUCUUCUUCUCUGCACCCUUAAAAAGAAGUUUUAUAAGUCUUGUAAGUAAACACUUUUAGAUAGAUCCGUCUUAACCAAGUUUUAUCAUUUGUAUCUCGAGAAGGCAAGCUAGUGUGAGUUUAAGGCACUGAGAGGUGCUCAACUUAAUUAUAAGCUAGAUGGCUUAAUUGCCUAAUAACACGAAGACCUUCCUUGACACUUUUUAAUACAAGUUAGUUCACAUUUUCAUCUCGCCACUAUUUUUGUCCCCUUUUACAUAUUCUAGUGUAGAUAGUAGAUUUAGCUUAGACUUAUUAGAUAGUUAUUUUAUACCGACUAGAUGAAGAGUGAGCCUUAUAACUAAUGUUUUGUAUCAAUUCUCUAUGUUCGACCAUGAAUUAUCCAGAAAACCUAUUAUUUCGCUUCAUUUUUCUGUCAUACAGGGUAAAUACUUUCACUUUUUCUUAUUCAUGUAAAUUUCUCUUGAUAGCAUAUAUAUUGUUAAUUCACACAAAUAUUAAAGUGGUUCAUAAAUGAUAGACAUCUAUCAAUAAUGAUAAACCUACAAAUUUUUUAGUAAUCAACCAUACAAAAACAAUUUAGUGUAUCGACUAUUAAAAUGGUUCAGUCUAUUGUUGAUAGAUCCAAAAAAAUCGUAAAAAUAACACUUACACAUUAUUAAUUUUUUGUGAUAUAGUUACAAAUGUGUGGCAACGAAUUUUAUCACGUGACACUAAUCUUUAAGAAACAUAAAAUUCGCAAACAAAUGAUGGCAAUUUACUUGUUUGACUUUACCAAGCUUUUCAUUAUGUUAAUUAAUUUUCAUUUAUCAGUAUUUGGAUGAUGAUAUAAUUGUGCAGUGAAUAAACUUUAAUUAGUGUUCAAAGUUUUAGGCCUUAAUUAGUUCAAUUUUGAUUAGUGUUUAAAGAUUGCAUUAGUUAAAUUUUGAUUAGUGUCCAAAGUUUUAAAGACUAAGCGUGUCUAGACAGAGGGAUAAUCUAGAGUAGACUUUUUUAAUCACUAUAGUUAAUCUACAAUAUAGUGAUUUGAUAUUGGUUUAUAAGUGGUUCAAAAUAAUGAACUUUUAAGCCUUUUUUUUUUUUAACAGAAAUGAGAAGAGAAGAACCAUAUCAUAUACCUUUGGAUCAUUAGCUCGUAACACUUUUUUUUCAAUCUAUUUCUAAAUUUGUUAUUUUCACAAUUUUAAAAAUAUAAGUGACAUGAACUCUAUUAUUAAAAGUAAUCAUGACCUGAAUGAUUGUUUAAAAGAACUAUAUAUGAUCUGAAUGAUCGUUUAUCAUAAUAAUCACGAUCGUUUACUGUGGUCAACACGAUCGUUAGAUUUAGUUUUUAAAUAUCAUUUAUAUUGGAGUACACGAUCGUUUACCAUAAUCAACACUAAUUAACACUAAUUAACACGAUCGUUCACCAUGGUCAACACGAUCAUUAGAUUUAAGGUUUUUAAAUAUCAUUUAUAUUGGAGUAUACGAUCGCUAACUAUAAUCAACAUGAUCAUGUUCCAUGAUAACACAAUCGUUUGUCAUGGUCAACAUGAUUAUUUUAAUUUGACGUUUUCUUUCCUCUAUUAAAAAAGAAUUACACAAUCGUUUGUCAUUCGUUGAGACGGUAAGACACGAUCGUUUAGAAGAAAAUUACUCGCACGCGACUGUGGUCGAUUAAUUGUGUCUUGACUAAGAUAUUUUUUAUAUUUUCUAUCGUAGGCCUUGGAGUUUUCCAUUUUCAAAAUUGUUCAGUAUAGUGUAAAUAUGUUAUUGUAAAUAUGUUAUUGAUUUGUUAUAAUUUUUUUAAAAACCCUUAUAUAUGUGUGUAUGUGUGUGUGUAUAUAUAUAUAUAUAGACUAUUCAAAUGUGAUAUAAUAUAUUGUUCAAAUGUGUAUAGAUAUAUAUAUACUGUUCAAAUGUGAUAUAAACUAAUAUUGCAAAAAUUAAAGCUCUUAGCUUGAGCUGAACGCACCAAAUUAUAAUAUAGUAAAAGGAGGUUGAGAAACCGAGUAUCUCUCCUGAAUACAAAGUGGAUGAAGUAAUUUUUAAAUAAAUAGAAACGAAAAACAUUUAAAUGACAACCAAAUUUCAUAGAAUAAAAAGAUUUAAUUCGUUUUUGCAGGAGAAGGGCAAAGUUUCUUUUCUUCAAAAAGAGGUAAUGUUGACUUAAUCUUCUAUUAUUUUUAGCUUAAUUAAUAUUUCCAACGAUGGAAUAUAUCUGACAAAAUAACAAAAUUAAACCCUUAAAAGAUAGCACUAGCCAUAAUACCAAUUUGAGAUGUCUAUCUACUGACUUAUUAUUAACUCAUAAUGGGUAAGGCGGUAUAUUAAAACGUAAUAUUGAGCUUUUAAUUUAUAUAGAAAGUAUAGGUUGGUUUUCCCUUUAUUUUUAGUUGGGAUCAGAAUAUUGUAUAUUAGAUUAAACUAAAGAGACAUAACAAUACUUAAUUCUUGUAGAAGAGUCCAAACUCAAGUAAGUAGGGUUUCUAUUUAGAGCAGUCAGCCUCAGUUGGUAAGCUAAUGUUGCAGGAUUUAGCAAUUCUUCUAGCCGCACUAGAAUUCACGAAACUCCUCAAAUCUGGAUCAUUGAUAUAUUCACAGUAGCAUGGUUGUGCCUCCCUCAACUUGUUGCAACAUGUCUGACUGGGCGUCAUCCCAAAAAAUGCUGCUGUGCAUGACGAGAGCUGUGAUGGGUCGCAUUCCACUUGAGCAACCACCGGAGGAGCGCCAUUAAGAAGAGCCACCGUGGUUGCCACCACGAAAAUGCAAACAACGAUUGUGAUAGGAAAAUUCUUCAUUUGAUUGUGUUACGAGGAAGGGAGGAAUAACGAAUUUGUGUGUUUCUGUGCUUUUGCUGAUGCUUUCAACCUCUCCUUUUAUAGCCUCUCAUAGGGAGUAAAUGUGUGCAACAAGUUAAGUUACCACACCUCCUAUUCAAUACUUUAAGUUACCACAAACUCUUCCGCACGAGUUAAACAAGUGAAUUAGUUGUCAUAAAAUUUCGCUUACUAGAUGCCCAACGCAUUAUGACAUGGUUAGAUAGACAUUGAUCAAUGUCUAGGUGGUCACACCUUCACUUAAUCACAUGACGAGACCUGAGAAUGGGGUCUGGGUGAUUGAAACAUCAAUGAUGUACAAAUAGUGUCAUUGGUGAUCAAAAUCUCUCGAUGAUUGUAAAAGAAAGAGAGAUGACAAUCAACUAGGAACAACACGUUAAAAACUCUCUAGAUGGAAGAUAUCUGAGAAUCGAGUAAUCGUCGUGUGAAGAUUUAAAUAUGUUAAAAGGUAUUUUUGAAAAUUUCAAAAAGUGAAAAUUACGUGUCCUAAGCUUCGUUUUUUUGACAUAUAACGUAAAUACUUUCAAUUUUUUUAUUUAUGUAAAAUUCCCCUUGUAAAAUAUAUAUUGUUAAUUCACAAAUAUAUUAAAGUGGUUGAUACAUGAUAGAUACCUCUCAAUAAUGAUAAUCCUACAAACUGUUUAUCAAUCAAUAUAUGCAAAAACAAUUUCGUGUAUUAACAGUAAUGGACUAUUAAAAUGGUCUAUCAGAAACGUUUGAUAGAUAAAAAGAAAAAUCCUAAAAAUAACAUAGUUACAAAUUAUUAAAUUUUUUGAUUGAUAUAGUUUACAAAUGUGGCAACGAAUUUUGUUACCUAACACUUAUGAUUAAAAAACAUAAAAUUAGCAAACAAAAUGGUGACAAUUUACUUGUUUGACUUUAUCAUGCAUUUAAUUAUGUUAAUUAACAUUCAUUUAUCUGUGUUUCGAUGAUGAUAAUUGAACAUUGAUUAAAUUUUGAUUAGUGUUUAAAGUUUUAGGCAUUAAUUAAAUUUUGAUUAAUUGGCAAAAACAGUACAAAUUUGAUAAUGAGACCAAUUUUGAAAAGAAGAGUCUUGGGACAAAUGGAUAUGUGAAAUAUCUAAAUUAUCCUUUAGUUUAAAAAAGCUCUAAAAUUUUGAAACCCACAAUUUCUUCCUCACACAACACAUCCAUCUGUAGAUGAACAAAUUGCAACCAAUGAAUGGAGGGAAUCGAUCAGAUGGAGUGGCGGUGACUUGGGUAGCAACAACCGAUAUCCAUUUGGAUGACUUGGACAACAACAACAAUUUCCCUAAAGCUAAAGUCUGGGUUUUAUGGAUUGUGCAUCAACGAUUUCUACAUCUUUCUUUAUUGCCAACUUUGUGGCCUCGUCCUCCUCCCAUUCCGCUUUCUUGCAUUUCCUAUUCAUUUCUCUCUCCUUCAUGUAAAAUACCAAUGAAUUGUAUUGAAUUUGGUUGCUAUUUUCAUUGAUCAAAAUGAAUAUUUAUACAAUGCUUGAAGAUACAAAUAUGGUAAAAAAUAAUUACAAAUCAAUUUACAACAAAUAGAGGGAUUAUAGGAGUAGAUUUUGUAAUAUGAUAUUAUUUCCUAAUAUCCCACCUCAAACCAAAGAUUCAGAGGGAGUUAGUAGUUAUUUCAAAGGUGAAGAAAUAUGAGAGACAGAAGUAGCUUUUGUGAGUAUAUCAACAAGUUGUUUGUUGGAGGAGAUGCGUCGAACAGAGAUGUCUUUACGAAGAACUUUUUCCCGAACAAAAUGGGAAUCAAUCUCAAUGUGUUUGGUUGACAAAAAUGCCAUUAGUGGAGAAUUGUAUUUCGAGACCAAGAAAAUACUUUAAAGAACCAAGAUCAGAUAUUUUAAAUUCAAGUGCCAAUUGGUUUUUAGAAGAGAAAUAUAAGAGGAGUCUGGGCCAGUGCCAAUAGUAUCAUCAAAACAUACAUGAGUAAGUAAGUAAGAGAAGAUCCAACAUGUCAAAUGAAUAAAGAUGGAUCAACCAGCUGUCCUAAAACAUAUAACAUUUGUCACUCACAGCCCCACAACCAAUCCUCUCAAUUAAGACACUUUGAAUUCAAAUUCUUCCCUUUCAAUUCAUGAUUCAUCUAUACAUAUAAAUAUAAGGGGAAAUUUUUUAAUUUACCUCUUCCUUUUAUAUAUUUUAUUUAUUUAAAUCUAAAUUAAUAAUAUAUGAUUUUAAUCUUUAACUUCUGUAAAAAUUUCAAUUGACACUACUUUUAAGAUUUGAAUUUUGAUCAAAGUUGCAUGAAACAUAUAAUUGUUUAUGUUAAUCUUAAAUUAUAAUAACAGAAAUUAUUUAUAUCCUUUAUUAAGAUUAAAUAAAUUAUCCAUGUGUUUAAAUCUUCCACUCUCGAAAUAGAAUUUAAAUGUUAAAUUUAUCAAAUAAAUAAGUAGGAGUUCAUGUAUGGAUUUUGUUAAACAAAGUAAUAGAAUAUCUAAAUUGAUUUGUUUAUAAAGAUGUCUAGAAACGUUUAAUUGAUGCGAAGAAGGGCACCAUACUAAAAGUAUUUAGAAAAAUAUUAGUAAAAUAUCACAUCGAGUGAUAUACUAUUAAUAAUAGUAUAAUGUAAUCUAUACAAAAGUUUUUUUUUUUUUUUUGUUUAUUUUAGUAUAUUUAAAAACAAACUGCAUUCGUAAUAUGGUUAUGAUACAAUCUAUAAUUCAAAUUUUAAGGGUUCUUUUUAUAUAAACUAUUUGAAUAUGAAUAUGGUUAUGAUACAAUCUAUAAUUCAAAUUUUAAGGAUUCUUGUUUUAAGGGUUCUUUUUAUAUAAACUAUUUACCUUUCAAAGAACCUAUACCUAUUUAUACUUUAUACAACAAAAUUACAAAAUAUCUUUCCAAAUUUUUAAAAUCUACUUUGAUUAAAUUUAAAUUCAUAAAAACUAACCAAAACUAAUUCAUAAAAACUAACCAAAACUAACAAACCAGGUUAAUAGAACUAAAGUAAAUCCACUCUUUACAUAUCUUAAUCAACAACGUUUAGUUCCAACUCUUUACAUAUCUUAAUCAACAACGAGAAGACUUACUUAUUUUUGUAUAUCUUUAUAUGGAGUUUUGUAAAAAUAGCAAAAAUGUAUGAUAAUAGAAAUCAUGUCAUAAGAUUUUUUAAAUUUACAAAAUUAUAAGAUUUUUUAAAUUUACAAAAUUUGCAAAUUAAUUUACAAAAUUAUAAAAUUUUUAAAUUUACAAAAUUUGCAAAUUAAUUUAGAAGGGAUGACUGUCUACUGUCAUACAAUUACUGUCUACUGUCAUACAAUUACUGUCUAUUAGUCCUGCAACAACUCCACAACAACUCUAGAUUACCGAUGAUUAUCGUUUAAUAGUAGUCUGAUAUCAUUAACUUUGUCAUAUUUGAAGUAUGCAAAAAAAAUAGUGUUGUCAAACUUAUUUGGAAAUAUUUUUGCAAUUUUCUUUUUAUAAAAGACAGCAUGAAAAAAUCUAGUAAGUUUUAAUAAAAAGCAAAAAUCUUCCCCUAACAAAUUUUUUUUUUUUUGUUGAAAAACUAUGUAAGUUGGAGAGAUAAAGAUAUUUGCAACCUAAUCAUCACCAAGAUAUUGUUCAAUUUUACUUUACAGCAACCUAAAAAAGAGAAAAAAGGUGAAACAUUUAACAAAGAAAACACCAAUCUAAAAAUAUCUUUAUAGAAACAUACCAUACCUAUUAUUUUAAUUCAUUAAAAGAAAAAGAAAAGAGAUAUAUGAUCAACAUGAACCUACUUUAAUAACUUAAUUAAAAAAAAAAAAGAAACACAUAGAUCGUUUUUUUCUUUUAUUGUUUUAUUCAUAGGAAUAACUAUAAAAUUAUUCCAGCUUAAUUUCCACACAUAUGGCCCAAAAGAAAGACCCUCUAACACCUUGGAGUGGGAACACCACAUUUGGAAGCAACAUGUUUGGCGCGAGGAGAAUUCAAAUAACUACUCAAAGCUGGGUUCUUUAUGUACCCGCAAAGACAUGGUUGCUGCUCUCUCAAUUUGUUGCAGCAAGUGGCGGAUGGGUCUGCCAUCGACGUGAUUGCCGUGAGACAUGAGCUCAGCUCCGAAGGGCUGCAACUCACCGCCUCUGCAACACGAACUCCGCCAAGAACGGCCAGCACGAAAAACAAACAACUGUGACUGGAAGAACUUUGUUCAUUGUCUCUUGGUUUUGAUAGAAAUCAGUAAUGUUUGUUGAAGGGAAAGGGAAAAGGAAAAGGAGAAAGAGGAAUAAUAUGGCUUUAAUUGUCUGUUUUUCCCCCCAACUCUUUUUUGUUUGUAUUUAUAGCCACAUAAAGUUGGAAGAGUUGAUAAAAGGGCCAACCCUAUUAUUAAUUUCUCAUUUCCAAUUUCACCUACUUUUCUCUUUGAUUUUAAUUGCUUCCAACAUCCUUUUCCAUAAAGUUAAUAUUGUGAUGAUAACAAUUAACAAAUAUUGUUGGCAUUGAUUUAAAUGUUGGGUUGCUCUACACGUUUGAUCUAUUCUAGAGCACAAAAAUUACCACAAUUAUUUUAACAUUUUUUGAAUUAUCCUAAAUCAUAAAAGGAAUUAGAGACGAAUAUAUUUUGCUUGUUUUUAUUUCUUUUUACAAUGGUUUGGUAUAAAUAUGCAAUACAAGAUAAUAUUAAAUAUGAAAAGAUUGGGAUAUAAUCAAAUAUACAAUUUGGGCAAAAAUAAAGGGCAGAAAUUGAGGAGUAGAUUAUGAAGAGGAUUGUGAUUUUGGAAAAUAUCCUCUAAUAUCCUCCCUCAGAUUGAUGACUCAAAAUGAGUCAAUAGUUUGUCUCGGAGUUGUAGAAGUGUUGUAGAUGAGAGUGACUUUGUUUGUAGAUCAACAAGUUGAUCGUUGGAAGAGAUAAUGUAACGAAUGAAGAUGUCUUUGCGAAGUACCUUCUCUUGAAAAAAGUGGUAAUCAAUUUCAAUAUGUUCGGUACGAGCAUGAAACACGAGAUUAUGAACCUGAGAUAUAGCUAAAACAUUAUCACACCAUAAGGUUGUUGAAGAUUUAAAGUGGAACAUGAAGAUCACAUAGAACUUGUCGGUUCCAGUAAAGAUCUGCAGUGGUAGUGGCGAGUGAGCAAGUUUUUGCUUAUGUGGAAGAACGAUAGACUGUAGGUUGCUUUCUAAAAGACCAAUAGAUAGGAUUAGAACCAAGAAAGACAAUGAAUCCAGAGGUGGAAUGUCGAUCAGAAGUGUCGCUAGCACAAUCAGAGUCAUUAAAAGGUUUAUAGAUAUAAUUAAUGAACCCAUGCAAAAUUUUAUCCCAAGGGUUGAGUACCACAUAGAUAUCGUAGGAUGCAUUUGAUUGCAGAGAAGUGAAUAACAGUGGGUUUGUGCAUCAAUUGACUAACACAAUUUAUAGAGAAUGAAAUAUCAUGGUGAGUAAAGUAAGGUAUUUUAAUGAAAGGAGUUAGAUGAUGGAUCAUUAAAUGACAAAACUGUUGAAAUUUAUGUCAUAAAACUCGUAGUUUGUAGUUUAAAAGUAUAUUUUAUUCAAUAAAGUGGUUAUUGAGGAUUAUUAAUAGAAUACUAUAAUCUUGAAUCUAAAUAAACUAAGGUCCUUAUGCUACCUAGUGUAGACUUGAAUUUACAUAAAUGUGGAUCAAGUUCAAGUAUAUAGCCCAAAUGGUCUAUAGUGUAUGAAUAAGCCUUAUUCUUGUUGUAGUUAGUACAAACGAUAUGAUCCUGAAUCGUUCAUGUAGAGACCAUGGAAGUUGGAGUAUCCUAUGUACAAAGUUUGCAUAAGACUGAAAUCAUAAAAUAAUCACUUUUAAGUUAUAACACCAUUGAUUGUACAAAACUGACUAUUUUGUUUAUUGAUGACCCAUGUAACUUAAUCUUAAUCCUAAGUUAACUAUGAACUUUGUUCACACAAAUUAUCCUUAGAUCUGCAUAGGUGAGUGUAGCUCAACGACACUGACACAAUAAGCCUCCCAUUUUAGGAGUAAGAUUGGGUGGAUGGCUAGGUGUAACGAUCCAAACUUUUCAAACUAAACUGAGGUAGUUCUUUAAUACAAAUGCACUUCUUUUAAACAUGAGUGUUUAUAAAAUAUGUUAAAAUCAAUAAACAUCAAAUAAAUCUUUAUUCAGGCCCUAUUUCAAACAAAAUUAAAGGUUCGAAAUUAUUGUUUAUAAAAUCAAGAAAUAAACUGUUGUGCUAAACAUGAAAUUCGUUUCAGUCACAACUACUAAAGUAAAACAAAAGAAAACUGUAAGCGGAAGCUAUUUUAAAGAAAAUCCUCCUAUGGCGAUCACGUCUCCUUCUUAUUCCUCGUUGGUCGGUCUCUUAUAUUACUUUUGCCUGGAAAGUUAAACAUAAAAGGGUGAGUAUAAACAUACCCAGCAAGAGACCACUACUGGUCCCACUAGGGUAAAAUUAUUAACUUUCUAUUGGAGGUACCAUGUAUCAUAACAGUCUUGUGAUCCCGUAGGAUGCACAUAAUUAAUCUAAUGCUCAUAAAAGAUGCACAUAUCAGUCUAGUGCUCCCGAAGGAUGCACCUAUCAGUCUAGUGUUCCAAAUGAUGCACAACAGGUGGUGAUCCCGUGGGGCACCUGCAAGACACACUACCCUACAGAUAAAGCUAACAGAUUUCCCUCAGUCCAUACUAACAUUUAAAACAGUCAACUCAACUUAGAAUAUAAACUACCAUUAUAUCCUUCUUUCAGCUCAACACAUAUACAGUUAAUUUACCCAAACCAAUACAUAAUCAAACAUCAGCAGAACAGUCCUCAAAUAAUUAAAUUUAUACAUAAGCGUCACUCACCUUAGUUCAGUCAAUUCAAUCUAGUUUGUCAAUUCAACCUACAUUACACUACCUAUGCCUUAACAUAACCGUCAACAACCCACAAUCUAAUCAAUUCGAUAUCCUCAGUUCAGUCAUCAAUAUAUUUUACAUAUCGGUCAACUCAUCUCAGUUCAAUAAAAUUUAUAUAAUAAACAGUCAUCAAAUAUAAAUUUGCUUAUCAGUUAGUCCAUCUAAGUUUAGUGGAAUCCAUAUAGUCAAUACAUCUUAAUUUCAUCAUUGAGUCCAGUAGUAGGAACCCUUACCUUAACUUCAUUUAUUCCACUAAAGUUCAACAAAAACAACCUAAACAUAAGUAAACAGAAAUCAAUGACUUCUAGAAACAAUUUCAUCUAUUCAAUUCAUCCUAUAUAUAUAAUUUCCACAACUUACCCAAAACGUGGAGAAUUGGAGUCCAACCCCACUCACUUGAAACUCAAGGAAUUUAAGUGUUGUCCACAAUUUGCACCUUCAAGAAACAAUAUCAAUCAAUUUACUAACCCAACCAAUAUUGGUUAUUGAAAACAAUCACCAAAACCCAAAACUACACCCUUACCACAAACCACGACAAGGUAGAAACAACGGCUUUCGAAACCAACACAAAAGAGAUUGUGCAAAAUAGAUAUGCGUGUGGGUUGGCUUGCAACUCGUAAACGGACAACAGAUGUAGACGAAGGCAGAUUGAUUCGAAUCUUCAACAGCAGCUACGCGCAACGGAGAAUUCCACUACAUCUAGCCCUACUUCGUUUUCGAACAUAUUCUUAUGUGAAAUUUAUUGUUUCAAUUCUUUAUUGCUUUGGUUUAACACCGCUUUGGAUUCUUUGCAGCAAAAGGUGGUAAAAACUACUUUAGAAGCGUCCCAAGCAGUUUGGAAUCAGUGGAGCAUUGCCGUCCAAGAGGGAUCUCACUCACUUUGUCAAAUGGCCCAAAGUUGUUUAAAUUUAGAGAAAAAAUAGAAUUUUGAAGCAGAGGCUAAAAAUUCCACCAACAUUGAAUCUGUUCUAUUUGACUUUCUUUUUUCUCUUUUUUUCUUGUUGUCAUCAUCAAAAUUUUCAACCAUACGUAUAAAGACGGAGAUAUUUUAUGUGGACAACUAUACGGCCGUCCGAACUACUUUUAACUUAUGUGGCUGGAUCUAAAACUUAGAAGAUUGUCCAAGUUUUCUGUUGAACAAUGCAUGUACCAGAUUUUGUGCAUUCCCAACAUGAUACAUUCUUAUGUUAUGUUGGGAAAGGGGUUCUCUGUUUAUAAUCACAAUCACUUUAGCCCUUAUUUGGGGGUCAAGGUUGCCUUUCACUUCUCCUCCCUCAUUUUGUAUAAGCAAGUAUUUCUUUGUCUAAAAGGGUUCAAACUCUCCUACUAUUAUAAUCAUUCAACAUUCUCUGUAAUGAUCAAUUCUUUAUUCCUCUUAGAUUUAUUAGGUUUUACUUUUAAUUGCUGCAUAUAGUUCUCUUACCUUCGUAUAGACAAAAAGGUGUUUCUGAGAGGUUUUUCUUUGAUAAGUUAAACGCUUGUAUUUUGUUGGAUUUGGCCUAUGGUUUGAAAAUCUCAAAUCAAUUGAACGCAUUGUCUUGUUUACACAUUUGAAUUGAAACUUUCCUAUACCUAUAUUAUACAUAUUCUUUCUAUUCUUUCCCAAAAUGUGUUAUACGACUUAUCUAUUCUACAUAAUUUCACGCAUGGCUAGCACGAUGUUCCCGUUUUCAAGGGAUGCCAAAAUUACUUUUCACUCAUUCUCGUAACUCCAUUGACGGAUAUAUUUCCUAAACCGGAUCUGCCUGCUCAUGCAUUUCCUAAUCAUGUGAUAAUGUUGAAUCUUCCUUUAUUAUAUAUAUAUAUUAUUGAUGUAAUUAAGAAUUGUUAUUUAAUAGUAAUUAAGAAGUUGUUCUUUAAUAGAAAUAUGUACGUUCGUGAAAAUGUUCAUAUAUAUAUAAAUGGGUUCAAAAUUUGAGGUUACAAAAAAUAAAAUGAAAUAAAUAAUAUAAGGUAUUUUUUUUAAAAAAAAAUCAAACCCGCGAUGCCAUAUGUAAGCGUCGAGACUUGUAUAUAAGAUCUCCCGACGACUAAAGAUGCGAACUCCCAACAUCGUAUACAGUAUCUUCCCGACGCUGCAUUUCUUAGUGUCGUAAAGGUUUCUUUUGAUACAUUUUAUCAGAGCACAGUUUUGACAGACAUUUUUUGGGAGAUCCUUUUACAACUCUUUUUUCGUAUAUCUCCCAACGAUUGUGUGCGUUGGAAGACCCCUCAUUUUUUGUAGUGAAUUUGUAACUCGAAUACUCUUAAUAAAAUUUCUCAAAACUGGUUCUCAAUGUGGAUGUAGACCAAAUUAGUCAAACCACUUAUAUCCUUGUGUUUUUAUUCUCUUAUGCUUUGUGUAUUUUAUGGCUAUUGCAUUAUGCUUGGGUUGUGUUAUUAAUUAAUUUAGUCCAUUAAUUAAUACAAAUAAUCAUGUCAGUUUUUAUUCAAGAGUUGAUUGGGCUGCACUAUAUACGAUCCAAAUGAAAAAGUUAAUUCCACGUCUUUUACUUCUCUAGAUAUAUUUCACAUUCUUUUAUAGUAAUGCCAUUACAUAUUUGUAUAAUGAUAAAAAUUGAAGCAUAUAGAACAAAGAAAAUACCAGAUCACUUUCCUUUUUAUUGAUAGUCGUUUGAUAUUGUAGUAUAUAUAUAUAUAUAUAUAUAUAUAUAUAAGAAAAGUCCAUUACAAAGCAUGACCUCUAGCAUUUGGGAUAGGGAACACCACAGGAGGAAAUAAUAGCUUUUGCUCGAGCAGAUUUCACGUAACCUCCCAAGCUUGGAUUCUUCAUAUACUGACAAAAGCAUGGCUGUUGCUCCCUCAGCUUACUGCAACAAGUGGUGGACGGUGGCCGUCGAUGUCAUUGCACCAAUGCAUGGACUCAGCCCCAUGGUGUUGCAAGUUAUCGCGUCGGCAACACGAGCUCCAGUUAUGAGGGCCGCCAUUGCCACCACCAAAGGGGAAGACUUGUGAACCCAAGAUUUUUCAUUAUUUUUCUUCUUUUGAUAUAGAAAUGAGGGAUAGGUUUCUAUUUGCCGCACCUUCAAAACAACUUUUUAUAGCCUCAUAAAGUGGAAUGUG